GCAAACCUCUUCUCCUAGCCAGGAAGUUUCAAAGAUUAAUGAGACCUCCAGCGGGGUCGUCGAAGAGGUGCCGAUGCCAUCUACCGCCCCUGGUCCCUCCAACUCGCCACGCGUGACGGAUCAUUCGUCUGACCAGCAUACUGCAAAGCCGAUUGUUACCACCUCGGCUUCCCUUCCUUUCUUGGGAGAGGGGUGCGAUCCUUCGAGCUUGCUGACAUUCGACCCCGAUUCCAUCGAGCCAGCCGCCCCUAAAACAGGUGAAGAGCCAAAU